ensembl:lncRNA
CAGGCUUUUCGAAUGUUCUCUUCAGCCAAUCUUUCUUAUGGCUUUCUUGGUCCCAGCAGAUGUGUUUCUAUUCUAGGUCCUUUACUCCGGCAUCAACCACUACUCACCAGCUGAACAGCCCUCCCUCAGGGGCUCCUCAUGCCUCCAGAAGCCCCAACAUAGACCUUGGGAGACCUACGAUAAUUCUACAUCAAAGCUCUCUUGCAAAUGGCCCACAGUCAAUGCUCAGCAUCAUAACCUGUUCCAGCAAAUUAGAUCACUUCCCUUUGAUCCCCUAUUUAGCCUCUCUUUAGUUUAUAGAUUUCCAAGCAUGAGUUGUAUCUGAGCCAUAGUCCAUUGUAACUUUCUCAAGCAUGAGCAAGAUACCCGUACUUUGUGUCUCCCUUAAGUCUCUUAUUUUCUUCAGGCAUUAAAAAGAGUGAACUAAUGUCAACUGCAGCAGCCUGGAUGGACCUAGAGAUUACCAUACUGAGUGAGUUCAUGAAUGUACCUCUGACUUGUGAAAGAAAGCAAAAUAUUACCAGAAAUCUAUAAAGAAGAAAGAAGUCAGUUGCUGGCCUACUGAAGAUGGGAUGAAGCUGGAUCAUUUGGAAGUUCAUUUAGGAGAGAGAUGGUCAGCAUUUGAAAAACUGCUUUGAACUCCAAAAUGGAAGCCAUGUACUGAUGAUAGCAAGGCUACCUCAACAACUUAUCUCUUCAGACCGCUUAUUUGGAAACCACAUGAAAGAGAAAAGAGCUUCUAUGUUAUUUAACCUGUGUUAAAUUACACACAGCUCCCAGGUGGCACAGAGAUAAAGAAUUCUCCUGCCAGUGCAAGAGAUGCAAGAAACACGGUUCAAUCCCUGAGUCAGGAAGAUUCCCUGGAGGAGGAACCCACUAGCAACCCAUUCCAGUAUUCUUGCCUGAAAAAUUCCAUGGACAGAGGCGUCUGGUGAGCUGCAGUCCAUGGAGUCGUACAUGACUGAGCGACUAAGCACACACAAAUUACAUACACUUUGUUGGAGCAAACUAACCUGUUUCCUACUUACUAUAAAGGCUAUCAUCUAUAGAUAACUCCUCACUUUCUGAAGUGCAGAAAUGGAGGCAUGAUGAGGCUAUAUACUAAGAGGGGAAACACAGAGAGGAGAAGGUUUGGAAAAAGAAAAGAUCAUGUUAUAAUCAUACUAGUUACAAG